GGUCGGGUGGCGCAAUGGUAGCGCGUUACUUUCCGGCGACAAGAUAUCUCUCUGUUGGUAAAGGUUCUGGGUUCGAGUCCCAGCUCGAUCG